rnacentral:rRNA from 1 species
UUCUACGGGGGGCAGCAGUGAGGAAUAUUGGUCAAUGGCCGAGAGGCUGAACCAGCCAAGUCGCGUGAGGGAAGACGGCCCUACGGGUUGUAAACCUCUUUUGUCGGGGAGCAAAGAGAGUCACGUGUGACUCAUUGAGAGUACCCGAAGAAAAAGCAUCGGCUAACUCCGUGCCAGCAGCCGCGGUAAUACGGAGGAUGCGAGCGUUAUCCGGAUUUAUUGGGUUUAAAGGGUGCGUAGGCGGUCCGGAAAGUCAGCGGUAAAAGCCCGGGGCUCAACCCCGGCGAGCCGUUGAAACUGUCGGA